UCUCCGUUGGUGAACCAGCGGAGGGAUCAUUACCGAGUUAUUCUACUCCCAAAUCCCUGUGAACUUAUACCUUUACUGUUGCUUCGGCGGGUUAACGCCCCGGAAGGCCUGUGAGGGCCGCCGGAACGAGGCGCCCGCCGAGGGACCCAAACUCUUGUAUCUUUUUUAUAGCAUGUCUGAGUGAAAUCAUAAACAAAUGAAACAAAACUUUCAACAACGGAUCUCUUGGUUCUC
rnacentral:misc_RNA from 1 species